CAUGCCGAGGAGCCUUCACGGAAGCCCACUGGGCAAGGGGCCCAACAUGGGGACUUUCCCAUUGGCUGGACAGUUGGAGAGGUUGGGAUCUUUGGGAAUGACCAAGAAAGAAAAAUUAAUAAAAAUGGGGACAAAAUAGAAAUUUGUAAAAGUUAAAUUUGAAAAUCGUGAAGUGUAUUAUGAGAUGAAAAUUGGGUUUGGUAAUUGUGAUGGUGGCAUUAAAAAUAAAUAAAUUAUUUAUGAGCUUAUGUUUUUCAUCCUUUUCUUUCUAGUUUUGCUAAUAAUUGUUUUUCAUUUAAUUGCUACUAAAUCAAUAUAAUAAUUAAAUGUUAAAACUCAUAAAAUUAAUAAAUAAAAAUCAACACAAAGAUGCAAAUAAUACUCACUCACUCUAUCCAUUUAAAAUACCACUGAGUUUUGAUUUUUAAAAGAGUUUACCAUAUGCAAAUUAAUCUAUGAAGGGCAUUUUGUAUAAUCUAAAAUAUCACCCAUCUUACCUAAUAAAUGCACGAGAAAAAAGCUAAAUCACACGAAAGAAUUGUUAAAAUUUCGAAGAUUCUUCUCUGCAACUCAACUGUAACGACCCCGGAAAUAUUAAAAAGAAAUGAGUAUUUAAAUAUAUCGAAUGCGGAAGCGAGAUCAAAAUUUUAGUUAACAUCCCUUACACGAAAAACCAAAAACGUACUUAAAAUAUAAAAGAUUAAACUAACUAAGAGAGGAACUCGAAAAUAAGACUAUGAGUAUGACUACAGAGUCUCUAGGUAUCCCCUUCGUCGUCCUCCUGCGGAACGGGCUCGGGAACCAUGUCUUCCUGAUCUGAAAUGGUUAAAUAAGGAGUGAGCUACACUAGCCCAGCAAGAACAUCACGAUAUCUCACCGUCACGGAGGUAAAGGUGGGUAGAAAAACACAAAAAGACCAAUGGAGCACAAUUUACAAUAAACUCGUUUAUUAACAUGAAAACCUUUACCAUCCACUUACCUUGGUGGAAUUUAUGAAAACAAUAUGAGAAAAACAAUAACAUCAUCAUAAUCAUUGAAUAAUCUAAGCUGUAAAACAUAACACUUAUCACGCCUCUUGUAAUUCAAUCAUUGUACAACAUCUCCCUUUUUCUCAUUUACCAGCCUACUAGUAUCCGUGGGGGUCCAUAGGGGUUCCGCUACCCGUUAACCUUUAACAUUCAUAAUCAGUUUCCAGGGCCGUCCCCAUACCCCGUCCGGUAUGGGCGCCAAAACCAUGAACCUCAAUACCCCCGUCCGGUAUGAGGGUGAAACGGGCCGUCCCCAUACCCCGUCCGGUAUGGGCGCCAAAACCAUAACCCUCAAUACCCCGUCCGGUAUGAGGGUGAAACGGGCCGUCCCCAUACCCCGUCCGGUAUGGGCGCCAAACCAUAAGAUCUCC
rnacentral:lncRNA from 1 species